GACAGAGGCCACGAACGUUGUUCGGAAUCACUGGGCAUAAAGCGCACGUAGGCGGCUAGGUCCGUCCGAUGUGAAAGCCCCCGGCUCAACCCGGGGAAUUGCAUCGGAUACAGCCUGGCUUGAGGACGGUUGGGGUGAGUGGAACUCCUGGUGGAGCGGUGAAAUGCGUAGAUAUCAGGAGGAACACCGGUGGCGAAAGCGGCUCACUGGACCGUUGCUGACGCUGAGGUGCGAAAGCUAGGGAGCAAACGGG
rnacentral:rRNA from 1 species